rnacentral:lncRNA from 1 species
GGGAGAACCUAGGGGCACUUAACUACUGAGCCACACCCCAGCCUCCCCCUUUUAAAAAUAAGGUGACUUUUUUUAAUAUUUAUUUUUUAGUUGUAGUUGGACACAAUAUCUUUAUUUUAUUUAUUUUUAUGUGGUGCUGAGGAUCGAACCCAGGGUCUCACACAUGCUAGGCAAGUGCUCUGCCACUGAGCCACAACUCCAGCACCACCACCCCAGCCCUUUUUAAUAUUUUAUUUUGAGACAGGGUCUUGCUAAGUUGCUUAGGGCGUCACUAAGUUGCUGAGGCUGGCCUUGAACUUGCAAUCAUCCUGCUUCAGUCUCCUGAGUUGCUGGAAUUAUAUGCAUGCUCUGUGCCAAGUACUAGUACUUUUCAUUGCCAUGUGUUUGCAAUUUUUAGAAAAGUUUAGUUUAUGAAUGACCUUGACAGAGCAGUAAAAAGUAUCAAUUUUAUUAACUCUUAACCUAUAAGAUGUAUACACCUUUGUUAUUUUAAUAUUUUGAGUGACAAAAGGAGAAGUAUGCACUUCUGUUUACCAAAGGAGGAUGGUGGGCUCCAGGAAAAGUGCCUCUGUGAUUGGCUGAGAUGUCACCUGAACUGUCUGCUUUUUUCUUUUCUUUUGGUACCAAAUAUGGUGCUUUACCACUGAGCUAUGUCCCCAGCCCUUUUCAUUUUUUAUUUUCAGAUGGGGCCUUGCUAAGUUGCUGAGGCUGGCUUUGAACUCACAGUCCUCUUGUAUCAGUCUCCUGAGCCAUUGGGAUUACAGACAUGUACCACUACACCCAGUGUAUGGCUGCUUUUUUAAAAAAUAUUUUUUAGUUUUAGGUGGACACAAUAUCUUUAUUUUUAUGUGGUGCUGAGAAUCGAACCCAGUGCCUUAUGCAUGCUAGGCCAGCGCGCUACCACUUGAGCCACAUCCCCAGCCCUAUGGCUGCUUUUUUGAAAGAAUACCAUUAUCAUUUUUAUCUGAAAGACUGACAAAAUAUGGUAAUUCAGAUAUAUUUUCAGAUAGUUAGCAGAUAUUUUCUCAACAAUGAAUGAAGUAUGCCUGUCACUCCAUGUGAAAGAACAGGUAGUACUGGGUGCCAAUAACAAAAAUCUGAGCUUUCAAGCAAAAGUCAAAACUUUGGAACACUGUAUCCAUCACUGUGAACUUGACAAGCUUCCCAAUACUAAAAGACUUUGUGAUUAGUAGUGAUAUUAACAUGUGAUUUUUCAAUAUUGUAUAAUGAAAUGUGUCAAAAUUUGUAAGAUUUGCACAAAUGUAUCAUGUUAUAAAAUCAUGCACACAUAAAAGAUUCAUACAAAGUAUAGACAGAUAAUUGUUUUGUGGUUGUUUUGUUUGAUCAAACCCAGGGCCUCAAACAUGCUAGGCAAGCUCUCUACUAUUGAAGUACAUCUACAGUCCCAAGAUGAUAGUUGGUUUUGUUGUUGUUGUUGUUUUUAUUUUUUUAAGUAUUUUUUAGUUGUAGUUGACACAAUACCUUUAUUUUAUUUUAUGUGGUGCUGAGGAUUGAACCCAGGUCCUUGCACCUGCUAGGCAAGCACUUACCACUUAGCCACAACCCCAGCCCCCCAAGAUGAUAGGUUUUAAUGUCAGAUAAUAUAAAUGUCAUUGGUUUCCUUUUAUUUUAAUUUUAGUUUAGUUUUUGCAGUAAUGGGGAUUGAACUCAGAGGUACUUGACCACUGAGCUCCAUCUCCAGCCCUUUUUAUGUUUUAUUUUGAGACAGGGU